GCUGCGGUAGCCUAGUGGUCAAGGUAACUGAAGCGUGUCAUGAGUUCGAGCCUCGUACCGCUGAA